rnacentral:rRNA from 1 species
GCAUAUAUUGAUGGACGAAAGAUUUUAUCGGCUAUGGAUGGGGAUGCGUCUGAUUAGGUUGUUGGCGGGGUAACGGCCCACCAAGCCUACGAUCAGUAGGGGUUCUGAGAGGAAGGUCCCCCACAUUGGAACUGAGACACGGUCCAAACUCCUACGGGAGGCAGCAGUGAGGAAUAUUGGUCAAUGGGCGAGAGCCUGAACCAGCCAAGUAGCGUGCAGGACGACGGCCCUAUGGGUUGUAAACUGCUUUUAUAAGGGAAUAAAGUGAGUCUCGUGAGACUUUUUGCAUGUACCUUAUGAAUAAGGACCGGCUAAUUCCGUG